GAAAGGAGUUGUUGUUUUGUAAGGGAUUGAGGUUUGGGAGAUUAAUCGGACAUGAUCAGCAGGGAAAGCACGUAUGUUUUUAUGAGAAUUAUGCCGAGAUAGGUAACAGGUGAGGAUAAAAUUUGGGCUUGACUGAAGUAAUGGGGGCUGUCUGUGAAGCCUUGCGGCAGUACAGCCUAGGUAAUUUGCUGAGCCUAAUGGGUCUCAGGGUCAGUCUAAGUGAAAGCAAAGAGAGGCUGGGAUGAGGGGUGCAGGGGAAUAGUGAAAAAAUCAUCUUUAAGAUCAAGCAUGGAAUAGUGAGUUGUGGAGGAAGGUAUUGAGGACAAAAGAGUGUACGGGUUGGGCACCACGGGGUGGAGAGGCAAAACAAUUUGGUUGAUAAGGUGCAGAUCCUGAACUAACUUGUAAGGCUUGUCUGGUUUUAGGACAGGUAAAAUGGGGGAAUUGUAAGGAGAGUUUAUAGGGUUUAAAAGGCCAUGCUGUAGCAGGCAAGUGAUAACAGACUUUAAUCUUUUUAAAGCGUGCUGGGGGAUGGGAUAUUGGCAUUGAGUGAGGUAAGGGUGAUUAGGUAUUAAUGAGAUGGUAAGGGGUGCAUGAUCGGUCGCCAAGGAGGGAGUAGAGGUAUCUUAUACUUGUGGGUUAAGGUGGGGGGAUAGAAGAGGAGGACGCAAAGGAGACUGGAUUGGGAAGAAGGGCAGCAAUGAGAUACAGCUGUAGUCCAGGAAUAGUCAGGGAAGCAGAUAAUUUAGUUAAAGUGUCUCAGACUAAUAAGGGAACUGGGCAGAUGGGGAUAACUAAAAAGGAGUGCUUAAAAGAUUAUUGUCUAAGUUGGCACCAGAGUUGGGGAGUUUUAAGAGGUUUAGAAGCCUGGCCAUCAAUACCCACAACAGUUAUGGAGGCAAGGGAAACAGGCCCUUGAAAAGAAGGUAAUGUGGAGUGGGUAGCCUCCAUAUUAAGAAGGGGAUGGGCUUACCUUCCACUGUGAGAGUUACCUGAAGCUCGGUGUCCUUGAUGGUGUAGGGUGCUUCCGAGGCAAUCGGGCAGUGUCAGUCUUCAGCUGCUAAGCCAAGAAGAUCUGGGAAGGAAUCAGAGAGCCUUGGGCUAGAGCUUUAGGGGCUCUAGGAAUGGCUGCCAGGUGAGCUGGGCAGUCUGAUUUCCAGUGGGUCCCUGCACAGAUGGGACAUGGCUUGGGAGGAAUCCCAGGCUACGGGCAUUCCUUGGCCCAGUGGCCAGAUUUCUGGCACUUGAAGCAAGAUCCUGUUGGAGGAAGUCUUGUAGGAAUGCUUGACUGCUGCGGCUUAGGCAUUUUGAAGUUCUCAUAUGCAGGAGGUGUGGCUGGGUUUUCUCUCACAGCAGAGGCAAGUAAUUGUAACUCAGAAACGCGUUGCCGUCUGGCUGCUUCCUCUCUAUUAUUGUACACCUUGAAGGUGAGGUUGAUUAAUUCCUGUUGUGGGGUUUGAGGGCCAGAUUCUAGUUUUUGAAGUUUUUUCCUAAUGUCAGGAGUGGAUUGGGUGAUAAAAU
rnacentral:lncRNA from 10 species